rnacentral:rRNA from 1 species
AGAGUUUGAUCCUGGCUCAGAACGAACGCUGGCGGCGCGUUUUAAGCAUGCAAGUCGAGCGGCAAGGGCCUUUGGGCCCCUAGAGCGGCGGACGGGUGAGUAACACGUGGACAAUCUGCCCCCCGGCCGGGGAUAGCCCAGGGAAACCUGGAUUAAUACCGGAUGAGACGGGACCCGCGGAGGCGGGAUCCGGGAAAGGCGCUGCGGCGCCGCCGGGGGAUGAGUCUGCGUCCCAUUAGCUAGACGGCGGGGUGAAGGCCCACCGUGGCGACGAUGGGUAGCCGGCCUGAGAGGGUGGACGGCCACAUUGGAACUGAGACACGGUCCAGACUCCUACGGGAGGCAGCAGCUAAGAAUCUUCCGCAAUGGGCGAAAGCCUGACGGAGCGACGCCGCGUGAACGAAGAAGGCCGUGAGGUUGUAAAGUUCUUUUCGGGAGGGGGAACAACCGUGGCAGGGAAUGGCCGCGGGAUGACGUGAAUCCCGGAAUAAGCCCCGGCUAACUACGUGCCAGCAGCCGCGGUAACACGUAGGGGGCGAGCGUUGUUCGGAAUCAUUGGGCGUAAAGGGCGUGCAGGCGGUCCUGCAAGUCCGGCGUGAAAGACCCCGGCCCAACCGGGGGGGCGCGCUGGAAACUGCAGGGCUUGAGUACAGGAGGGGAUGCCGGAAUUCCAGGUGUAGGGGUGAAAUCUGUAGAUAUCUGGAAGAACACCAAUGGCGAAGGCAGGCAUCUGGCCAUGUACUGACGCUGAGACGCGAAGGUGCGGGGAGCAAACAGGUUUAGAUACCCUGGUAGUCCGCACAGUAAACGAUGUGCACCAGGUGGCGGGGGGGUCGACCCCCGGUACCGUAGCCCACGCAUUAAGUGCACCGCCCGGGGAGUAUGCUCGCAAGGGUGAAACUC